AUGGCCUGGACCCCGCUCCUCCUGGGCCUCCUGGCUCACUGCACAGGUUCUGUAUCUUCCUAUGAGCUGAAUCAACCUCCCUCACUGUCUGUGAGUCCAGGAGCGGAGGCCAAGAUGACCUGUAGUGGAAACAAUAUUGGAAGCAAAUAUGUUUACUGGUACCAGCAGAAGCCAGGCCAGGCCCCUGUGCUGGUCAUUUACGAAAACAGCAAACGGCCCUCGGGGAUCCUGACCGCUUCUCUGGCUCCAACUCUGGGGGCACAGCCACCCUGACCAUCAGUGGUGUGCGCACUGAGGACGAGGCUGACUAUUACUGUCAGGUGGGGGACAGUGGUGCUCACAGUGACACGGACAGAUGGGGAAGUGAGACACAAACAUCUGCCCAUCUGUGUCACACUCUCCUCAGGCCAGGAUCCCUGUAG